GACGGAGGGUGCAAGCGUUGUUCGGAAUUACUGGGCGUAAAGGGCGCGUAGGCGGUCUGCUAAGUUCGGUGUGAAAUCCCCUGGCUCAACUGGGGAACUGCGCCGGAAACUGGCAGACUAGAGUACCGGAGAGGAGGGUGGAAUUCCUGGUGUAGCGGUGAAAUUCGUAGAUAUUCGCAAGAACACCAGUGGCGAAGGCGGCUCACUGGCCCGGUACUGACGCUGAGGUGCGAAAGCGUGGGGAGCAAACAGG
rnacentral:rRNA from 1 species